AAUCAAGAAGUAACUUAAUUAUGUCAUUAUCAUAACCAAAUUUAACAAGACUCAUUUUCAUGAAAUAAUGUCAUAACCAUGUACAGCACAAUUUAUAGACUGAAGAUUUCUCUCGAAAAAAAAGGAAAUAGAACAUCAUCACAUAUUACACUAAUAGCAGCCUUUAGAAGACUCGAAGAUACGUUACUAAAAUAAAGUUAGGCCAC
rnacentral:lncRNA from 1 species